rnacentral:rRNA from 1 species
UUAAGCGACUAAGCGUACACGGUGGAUGCCCUGGCAGUCAGAGGCGAUGAAGGACGUGCUAAUCUGCGAUAAGCGUCGGUAAGGUGAUAUGAACCGUUAUAACCGGCGAUUUCCGAAUGGGGAAACCCAGUGUGAUUCGACACACUAUCAUUAACUGAAUCCAUAGGUUAAUGAGGCGAACCGGGGGAACUGAAACAUCUAAGUACCCCGAGGAAAAGAAAUCAACCGAGAUUCCCCCAGUAGCGGCGAGCGAACGGGGAGCAGCCCAGAGCCUGAAUCAGUGUGUGUGUUAGUGGAAGCGUCCGGAAAGGCGCGCGAUACAGGGUGACAGCCCCGUACACAAAAAUGCACAUGCUGUGAGCUCGAUGAGUAGGGCGGGACACGUGGUAUCCUGUCUGAAUAUGGGGGGACCAUCCUCCAAGGCUAAAUACUCCUGACUGACCGAUAGUGAACCAGUACCGUGAGGGAAAGGCGAAAAGAACCCCGGCGAGGGGAGUGAAAAAGAACCUGAAACCGUGUACGUACAAGCAGUGGGAGCACAGAGCAAUCUGUGUGACUGCGUACCUUUUGUAUAAUGGGUCAGCGACUUAUAUUCUGUAGCAAGGUUAACCGAAUAGGGGAGCCGAAGGGAAACCGAGUCUUAACUGGGCGUUAAGUUGCAGGGUAUAGACCCGAAACCCGGUGAUCUAGCCAUGGGCAGGUUGAAGGUUGGGUAACACUAACUGGAGGACCGAACCGACUAAUGUUGAAAAAUUAGCGGAUGACUUGUGGCUGGGGGUGAAAGGCCAAUCAAACCGGGAGAUAGCUGGUUCUCCCCGAAAGCUAUUUAGGUAGCGCCUCGUGAAUUCAUCUCCGGGGGCAGAGCACUGUUUCGGCAAGGGGGUCAUCCCGACUUACCAACCCGAUGCAAACUGCGAAUACCGGAGAAUGUUAUCACGGGAGACACACGGCGGGUGCUAACGUCCGUCGUGAAGAGGGAAACAACCCAGACCGCCAGCUAAGGUCCCAAAGUCAUGGUUAAGUGGGAAACGAUGUGGGAAGGCCCAGACAGCCAGGAUGUUGGCUUAGAAGCAGCCAUCAUUUAAAGAAAGCGUAAUAGCUCACUGGUCGAGUCGGCCUGCGCGGAAGAUGUAACGGGGCUAAACCAUGCACCGAAGCUGCGGCAGCGACGCUUAUGCGUUGUUGGGUAGGGGAGCGUUCUGUAAGCCUGCGAAGGUGUGCUGUGAGGCAUGCUGGAGGUAUCAGAAGUGCGAAUGCUGACAUAAGUAACGAUAAAGCGGGUGAAAAGCCCGCUCGCCGGAAGACCAAGGGUUCCUGUCCAACGUUAAUCGGGGCAGGGUGAGUCGACCCCUAAGGCGAGGCCGAAAGGCGUAGUCGAUGGGAAACAGGUUAAUAUUCCUGUACUUGGUGUUACUGCGAAGGGGGGACGGAGAAGGCUAUGUUGGCCGGGCGACGGUUGUCCCGGUUUAAGCGUGUAGGCUGGUUUUCCAGGCAAAUCCGGAAAAUCAAGGCUGAGGCGUGAUGACGAGGCACUACGGUGCUGAAGCAACAAAUGCCCUGCUUCCAGGAAAAGCCUCUAAGCAUCAGGUAACAUCAAAUCGUACCCCAAACCGACACAGGUGGUCAGGUAGAGAAUACCAAGGCGCUUGAGAGAACUCGGGUGAAGGAACUAGGCAAAAUGGUGCCGUAACUUCGGGAGAAGGCACGCUGAUAUGUAGGUGAAGUCCCUCGCGGAUGGAGCUGAAAUCAGUCGAAGAUACCAGCUGGCUGCAACUGUUUAUUAAAAACACAGCACUGUGCAAACACGAAAGUGGACGUAUACGGUGUGACGCCUGCCCGGUGCCGGAAGGUUAAUUGAUGGGGUCAGCGCAAGCGAAGCUCUUGAUCGAAGCCCCGGUAAACGGCGGCCGUAACUAUAACGGUCCUAAGGUAGCGAAAUUCCUUGUCGGGUAAGUUCCGACCUGCACGAAUGGCGUAAUGAUGGCCAGGCUGUCUCCACCCGAGACUCAGUGAAAUUGAACUCGCUGUGAAGAUGCAGUGUACCCGCGGCAAGACGGAAAGACCCCGUGAACCUUUACUAUAGCUUGACACUGAACAUUGAGCCUUGAUGUGUAGGAUAGGUGGGAGGCUUUGAAGUGUGGACGCCAGUCUGCAUGGAGCCGACCUUGAAAUACCACCCUUUAAUGUUUGAUGUUCUAACGUUGACCCGUGAUCCGGGUUGCGGACAGUGUCUGGUGGGUAGUUUGACUGGGGCGGUCUCCUCCUAAAGAGUAACGGAGGAGCACGAAGGUUGGCUAAUCCUGGUCGGACAUCAGGAGGUUAGUGCAAUGGCAUAAGCCAGCUUGACUGCGAGCGUGACGGCGCGAGCAGGUGCGAAAGCAGGUCAUAGUGAUCCGGUGGUUCUGAAUGGAAGGGCCAUCGCUCAACGGAUAAAAGGUACUCCGGGGAUAACAGGCUGAUACCGCCCAAGAGUUCAUAUCGACGGCGGUGUUUGGCACCUCGAUGUCGGCUCAUCACAUCCUGGCUGAAGUAGGUCCCAAGGGUAUGGCUGUUCGCCAUUUAAAGUGGUACGCGAGCUGGGUUUAGAACGUCGUGAGACAGUUCGGUCCCUAUCUGCCGUGGGCGCUGGAGAACUGAGGGGGGCUGCUCCUAGUACGAGAGGACCGGAGUGGACGCAUCACUGGUGUUCGGGUUGUCAUGCCAAUGGCACUGCCCGGUAGCUAAAUGCGGAAGAGAUAAGUGCUGAAAGCAUCUAAGCACGAAACUUGCCCCGAGAUGAGUUCUCCCUGACUCCUUGAGAGUCCUGAAGGAACGUUGAAGACGACGACGUUGAUAGGCCGGGUGUGUAAGCGCAGCGAUGCGUUGAGCUAACCGGUACUAAUGAACCGUGAGGCUUAACCUU